CAACCUCAUCCUGUGGGGGGGGAACCUGUGGUUCGUGUUCAAGGAGACGGGGAUCCUGGCCCCCUUCAUGCGGGCCCCUCCCCCGCAGGAGAAGGCCGCUGCACCGGAGGACUUCGGCCAGCAGGGGGGCUACGAGCAGGACCCCUACGCCGGCACCCAGGGGGGCGGGUACCAGCCCGACUACAACCAGCAGGGCUACAACCAGACUCAGGAGGCGGACUUCGGUCCGGGCUAUGGCCAACCAGCAGCAGCUCCAACCUCCUUCUCCAAUCAGAUGUGAGCAGACAGGAAAUCGGCAUUGGAGCGUACAAAAGGUUGGCGGUCUGCAGCCUACCCAUAAUGCAACGCUCCUUCAUAUCUGCCGGGAUGUUCAUCGG